UUUAAACUGUAACGUUGAGGUUUUCUUGCGCUUUUUGUUCUAUUGUAUUUUGUUCCCUCAGAAAACUGCUAAUCAUCUCUUUUUUGUGUUUUCUUCGUUUUUCCUGAUAAUUUGUUUUUUUCAAUAAGAACAAAAGAAAGAUCAGACAGAAGCAUGCAAAGAAGGGGUAAAAUUUAAAUUGGAAAAGGAGAUCGUGGACCUAGGUGAUGAUGAUAAUGAUGCUAGGUAUACAUCACAAGGAUUGCGUGGAGAGCAAACUAUUUCUCAAAAAAUUGCAGAAAAUGAACAUUUACAAAGGGUUGAAAUGAUCAAAAGACAACGAGCUUCUGAUAUUCAGGCUUCUACUUCCACAUUUACAUCCUCUGCUGAUUUAUUUGAAAAAGAAAAUCUCCCUGUAAAGAGAAGUGUCAUGGGCAAAGAUAUUCAAAGUCCUGCAAAAAAGAUAAAAAAAGGUUAUCCGGUUUAUAGGGCCCAGAGAGUAAGUGGGCCCAUUGAGCCUCUAGCCCAUGAAGUGAAGCACGGUUCAAAACAGGUAAGGGUAUAUGUGAGAAAGAAGCAGAGUUUUCUCUCCUAAUCAAAUUGUUAUUCUUUUUUGUUUUCAUCUUCAAAGCUCAGAUUCUAGACUUUGUUGCAAGGAUACAAGUUCAGUUUAUCUCAGACCAACAUGUUGUAAAGUUUUAGUAAAA